rfam:Dipodomys ordii contig_11396, whole genome shotgun sequence.
GGUGGCUCAGUGGUAGAACGCUUGCCUUGCAUGCAUGAGGACCUGGGUUCGAUUCCUCAGCACCA